rnacentral:rRNA from 1 species
UACGUAGGGUCCGAGCGUUGUCCGGAAUUAUUGGGCGUAAAGAGCUCGUAGGCGGUUUGUCGCGUCUGCUGUGAAAUCCCGGGGCUCAACCCCGGACUUGCAGUGGGUACGGGCAGACUAGAGUGUGGUAGGGGAGACUGGAAUUCCUGGUGUAGCGGUGAAAUGCGCAGAUAUCAGGAGGAACACCGAUGGCGAAGGCAGGUCUCUGGGCCACUACUGACGCUGAGAAGCGAAAGCAUGGGGAGCGAACAGG